rnacentral:rRNA from 1 species
GACGAACGCUGGCGGCGUGCUUAACACAUGCAAGUCGAACGGAAAGGCCCUGCUUUUGUGGGGUGCUCGAGUGGCGAACGGGUGAGUAACACGUGAGUAACCUGCCCUUGACUUUGGGAUAACUUCAGGAAACUGGGGCUAAUACCGGAUAGGAGCUCCUGCUGCAUGGUGGGGGUUCGAAAGUUUCGGCGGUUGGGGAUGGACUCGCGGCUUAUCAGCUUGUUGGUGGGGUAGUGGCUUACCAAGGCUUUGACGGGUAGCCGGCCUGAGAGGGUGACCGGCCACAUUGGGACUGAGAUACGGCCCAGACUCCUACGGGAGGCAGCAGUGGGGAAUAUUGCACAAUGGGCGGAAGCCUGAUGCAGCAACGCCGCGUGCGGGAUGACGGCCUUCGGGUUGUAAACCGCUUUCGCCUGUGACGAAGCGUGAGUGACGGUAAUGGGUAAAGAAGCACCGGCUAACUACGUGCCAGCAGCCGCGGUGAUACGUAGGGUGCGAGCGUUGUCCGGAUUUAUUGGGCGUAAAGGGCUCGUAGGUGGUUGAUCGCGUCGGAAGUGUAAUCUUGGGGCUUAACCCUGAGCGUGCUUUCGAUACGGGCUGACUUGAGGAAGGUAGGGGAGAAUGGAAUUCCUGGUGGAGCGGUGGAAUGCGCAGAUAUCAGGAGGAACACCAGUGGCGAAGGCGGUUCUCUGGGCCUUUCCUGACGCUGAGGAGCGAAAGCGUGGGGAGCGAACAGGCUUAGAUACCCUGGUAGUCCACGCUGUAAACGGUGGGUACUAGGUGUGGGGUCCAUUCCACGGGUUCCGUGCCGUAGCUAACGCUUUAAGUACCCCGCCUGGGGAGUACGGCCGCAAGGCUAAAACUCAAAGGAAUUGACGGGGCCCCGCACAAGCGGCGGAGCAUGCGGAUUAAUUCGAUGCAACGCGUAGAACCUUACCUGGGUUUGACAUGGAUCGGGAGUGCUCAGAGAUGGGUGUGCCUCUUUUGGGGUCGGUUCACAGGUGGUGCAUGGCUGUCGUCAGCUCGUGUCGUGAGAUGUUGGGUUAAGUCCCGCAACGAGCGCAACCCUUGUUCACUGUUGCCAGCACGUUAUGGUGGGGACUCAGUGGAGACCGCCUGGGUCAACUCGGAGGAAGGUGGGGAUGACGUCAAGUCAUCAUGCCCCUUAUGUCCAGGGCUUCACGCAUGCUACAAUGGCUGGUACAGAGAGUGGCGAGCCUGUGAGGGUGAGCGAAUCUCGGAAAGCCGGUCUCAGUUCGGAUUGGGGUCUGCAACUCGACCUCAUGAAGUCGGAGUCGCUAGUAAUCGCAGAUCAGCAACGCUGCGGUGAAUACGUUCCCGGGGCU